UACGUAGGGUGCGAGCGUUGUCCGGAAUUAUUGGGCCUAAAGCAUCCGUAGCCGGUACUGCAAGUCUUCCGUUAAAUCCACCUGCUUAACAGUUGGGCUGCGGGGGAUACUACAGCGCUAGGAGGCGGGAGAGGCAAGCGGUACUCAAUGGGUAGGGGUAAAAUCCGCUGAUCCAUUGAAGACCACCAGUGGCGAAGGCGGCUUGCCAGAACGCGCUCGACGGUGAGGGAUGAAAGCUGGGGGAGCAAACCGG
rnacentral:rRNA from 1 species